GAUGAACGCUGGCGGCGUGCCUAAUACAUGCAAGUCGAGCGAACGGACGAGAAGCUUGCUUCUCUGAUGUUAGCGGCGGACGGGUGAGUAACACGUGGAUAACCUACCUAUAAGACUGGGAUAACUUCGGGAAACCGGAGCUAAUACCGGAUGAUAUUUUGAACCGCAUGGUUCAAAAGUGAAAGACGGUCUUGCUGUCACUUAUAGAUGGAUCCGCGCUGCAUUAGCUAGUUGGUAAGGUAACGGCUUACCAAGGCAACGAUGCAUAGCCGACCUGAGAGGGUGAUCGGCCACACUGGAACAGAGACACGGUCCAGACUCCUACGGGAGGCAGCAGUAGGGAAUCUUCCGCAAUGGGCGAAAGCCUGACGGAGCAACGCCGCGUGAGUGAUGAAGGUCUUCGGAUCGUAAAACUCUGUUAUUAGGGAAGAACAUAUGUGUAAGUAACUGUGCACAUCUUGACGGUACCUAAUCAGAAAGCCACGGCUAACUACGUGCCAGCAGCCGCGGUAAUACGUAGGUGGCAAGCGUUAUCCGGAAUUAUUGGGCGUAAAGCGCGCGUAGGCGGUUUUUUAAGUCUGAUGUGAAAGCCCACGGCUCAACCGUGGAGGGUCAUUGGAAACUGGAAAACUUGAGUGCAGAAGAGGAAAGUGGAAUUCCAUGUGUAGCGGUGAAAUGCGCAGAGAUAUGGAGGAACACCAGUGGCGAAGGCGACUUUCUGGUCUGUAACUGACGCUGAUGUGCGAAAGCGUGGGGAUCAAACAGGAUUAGAUACCCUGGUAGUCCACGCCGUAAACGAUGAGUGCUAAGUGUUAGGGGGUUUCCGCCCCUUAGUGCUGCAGCUAACGCAUUAAGCACUCCGCCUGGGGAGUACGACCGCAAGGUUGAAACUCAAAGGAAUUGACGGGGACCCGCACAAGCGGUGGAGCAUGUGGUUUAAUUCGAAGCAACGCGAAGAACCUUACCAAAUCUUGACAUCCUUUGACAACUCUAGAGAUAGAGCCUUCCCCUUCGGGGGACAAAGUGACAGGUGGUGCAUGGUUGUCGUCAGCUCGUGUCGUGAGAUGUUGGGUUAAGUCCCGCAACGAGCGCAACCCUUAAGCUUAGUUGCCAUCAUUAAGUUGGGCACUCUAAGUUGACUGCCGGUGACAAACCGGAGGAAGGUGGGGAUGACGUCAAAUCAUCAUGCCCCUUAUGAUUUGGGCUACACACGUGCUACAAUGGACAAUACAAAGGGCAGCGAAACCGCGAGGUCAAGCAAAUCCCAUAAAGUUGUUCUCAGUUCGGAUUGUAGUCUGCAACUCGACUACAUGAAGCUGGAAUCGCUAGUAAUCGUAGAUCAGCAUGCUACGGUGAAUACGUUCCCGGGUCU
rnacentral:rRNA from 1 species